GGGUUGUGAGGUUAAGCGACUAAGCGUACACGGUGGAUGCCCUGGCAGUCAGAGGCGAUGAAGGACGUGCUAAUCUGCGAAAAGCGUCGGUAAGGUGAUAUGAACCGUUAUAACCGGCGAUGUCCGAAUGGGGAAACCCAGUGCAAUUCGUUGCACUAUCGUUAACUGAAUACAUAGGUUAACGAGGCGAACCGGGGGAACUGAAACAUCUAAGUACCCCGAGGAAAAGAAAUCAACCGAGAUUCCCCCAGUAGCGGCGAGCGAACGGGGAGCAGCCCAGAGUCUGAAUCAGCUUGUGUGUUAGUGGAACGGUCUGGAAAGUCCGACGGUACAGGGUGAUAGUCCCGUACACCAAAAUGCACAGGUUGUGAACUCGAAGAGUAGGGCGGGACACGUGGUAUCCUGUCUGAAUAUGGGGGGGGACCAUCCUCCAAGGCUAAAUACUCCUGACUGACCGAUAGUGAACCAGUACCGUGAGGGAAAGGCGAAAAGAACCCCGGCGAGGGGAGUGAAAAAGAACCUGAAACCGUGUACGUACAAGCAGUGGGAGCACCUUCGGGUGUGACUGCGUACCUUUUGUAUAAUGGGUCAGCGACUUAUAUUCUGUAGCAAGGUUAACCGUAUAGGGGAGCCGCAGGGAAACCGAGUCUUAACUGGGCGUUAAGUUGCAGGGUAUAGACCCGAAACCCGGUGAUCUAGCCAUGGGCAGGUUGAAGGUUGGGUAACACUAACUGGAGGACCGAACCGACUAAUGUUGAAAAAUUAGCGGAUGACUUGUGGCUGGGGGUGAAAGGCCAAUCAAACCGGGAGAUAGCUGGUUCUCCCCGAAAGCUAUUUAGGUAGCGCCUCGUGAAUUCAUCUUCGGGGGUAGAGCACUGUUUCGGCUAGGGGGGUCAUCCCGACUUACCAACCCGAUGCAAACUACGAAUACCGAAGAAUGUUAUCACGGGAGACACACGGCGGGUGCUAACGUCCGUCGUGAAGAGGGAAACAACCCAGACCGCCAGCUAAGGUCCCAAAGUCAUGGUUAAGUGGGAAACGAUGUGGGAAGGCACAGACAGCCGGAUGUUGGCUUAGAAGCAGCCAUCAUUUAAAGAAAGCGUAAUAGCUCACUGGUCGAGUCGGCCUGCGCGGAAGAUGUAACGGGGCUAAACCAUGCACCGAAGCUGCGGCAGCGACACUAUGUGUUGUUGGGUAGGGGAGCGUUCUGUAAGCCUGCGAAGGUGUGCUGUGAGGCAUGCUGGAGGUAUCAGAAGUGCGAAUGCUGACAUAAGUAACGAUAAAGCGGGUGAAAAGCCCGCUCGCCGGAAGACCAAGGGUUCCUGUCCAACGUUAAUCGGGGCAGGGUGAGUCGACCCUAAGGCGAGGCCGAAAGGCGUAGUCGAUGGGAAACAGGUUAAUAUUCCUGUACUUGGUGUUACUGCGAAGGGGGACGGAGAAGGCUAUGUUAGCCGGGCGACGGUUGUCCCGGUUUAAGCAUGUAGGCUGGUUAUCGGGCAAAUCCGGAUAAUCAAGGCUGAGGUGUGAUGACGAGGCACUACGGUGCUGAAGUAACAAAUGCCCUGCUUCCAGGAAAAGCCUCUAAGCAUCAGGUAACAUCAAAUCGUACCCCAAACCGACACAGGUGGUCAGGUAGAGAAUACCAAGGCGCUUGAGAGAACUCGGGUGAAGGAACUAGGCAAAAUGGUGCCGUAACUUCGGGAGAAGGCACGCUGGUGUGUAGGUGAAGUCCCUGCGGAUGGAGCUGAGACCAGUCGAAGAUACCAGCUGGCUGCAACUGUUUAUUAAAAACACAGCACUGUGCAAACACGAAAGUGGACGUAUACGGUGUGACGCCUGCCCGGUGCCGGAAGGUUAAUUGAUGGGGUUAUCCGUAAGGAGAAGCUCUUGAUCGAAGCCCCGGUAAACGGCGGCCGUAACUAUAACGGUCCUAAGGUAGCGAAAUUCCUUGUCGGGUAAGUUCCGACCUGCACGAAUGGCGUAAUGAUGGCGAGGCUGUCUCCACCCGAGACUCAGUGAAAUUGAACUCGCUGUGAAGAUGCAGUGUACCCGCGGCAAGACGGAAAGACCCCGUGAACCUUUACUAUAGCUUGACACUGAACAUUGAGCCUUGAUGUGUAGGAUAGGUGGGAGGCUUUGAAGCGUGGACGCCAGUCUGCGUGGAGCCAACCUUGAAAUACCACCCUUUAAUGUUUGAUGUUCUAACGUUGGCCCCUUACCGGGGUUGCGGACAGUGUCUGGUGGGUAGUUUGACUGGGGCGGUCUCCUCCCAAAGCGUAACGGAGGAGCACGAAGGUUAGCUAAUCCUGGUCGGACAUCAGGAGGUUAGUGCAAUGGCAUAAGCUAGCUUGACUGCGAGCGUGACGGCGCGAGCAGGUGCGAAAGCAGGUCAUAGUGAUCCGGUGGUUCUGAAUGGAAGGGCCAUCGCUCAACGGAUAAAAGGUACUCCGGGGAUAACAGGCUGAUACCGCCCAAGAGUUCAUAUCGACGGCGGUGUUUGGCACCUCGAUGUCGGCUCAUCACAUCCUGGGGCUGAAGUAGGUCCCAAGGGUAUGGCUGUUCGCCAUUUAAAGUGGUACGCGAGCUGGGUUUAGAACGUCGUGAGACAGUUCGGUCCCUAUCUGCCGUGGGCGCUGGAGAAUUGAGGGGGGCUGCUCCUAGUACGAGAGGACCGGAGUGGACGCAUCACUGGUGUUCGGGUUGUCAUGCCAAUGGCACUGCCCGGUAGCUAAAUGCGGAAGAGAUAAGUGCUGAAAGCAUCUAAGCACGAAACUUGCCCCGAGAUGAGUUCUCCCUGAGACUUUAAGUCUCCUGAAGGAACGUUGAAGACGACGACGUUGAUAGGCCGGGUGUGUAAGCGCAGCGAUGCGUUGAGCUAACCGGUACUAAUGAACCGUGAGGCUUAACCUUACAACGCCGAAG
rnacentral:rRNA from 1 species